GGAGUCGGCCAGACAGUCGCGACGUGCCCAUGUGCACAUCGAGGAAAGUCCGGGCUCCACAGGGUGCGAUGCCAGGUAACGCCUGGGCGGCGCGAGCCGACGGAAAGUGCAACAGAGAGCAAACCGCCGAUGGCCACGCAUUUUUCGGAGUGCGCGGCACAGGCAAGGGUGAAACGGUGCGGUAAGAGCGCACCACGAGCCGGGCAACCGGCCGGUACGGCAAACCCCAUCGGGAGCAAGACCAAAUAGGGAGGCGAUGUCGUGACCCGCGACGCCUCCGGGUAG
rnacentral:RNase_P_RNA from 1 species